rnacentral:rRNA from 1 species
CGAAACGCACCUCAUCAUGUAAUUAAAAUUUAAUUUAUAUUGUUAUCAAUAGGUUAAUGCAUAAUUAAAUUAAAAAUGGAAAUUGUUUUUGAUUUUGAAAUUUAAUUGAGUAGUCUUAGUUGUGUUGAACGAAAAGUGCACAGUGAUCCUUCGUUCGCAUUGGGGACGUAUCUGGAUCAACAACGAGGAGCUGCAUGAUGAAUCCACAGGCAACCACAACUGAUGAAUUAACCUUUACCAGGCCGCAAGGCGAGCUGGAAAAGCAAGUCCUGACCGCUGAGGCAGUCGAGUUUUUGACGGAGUUAGUUACCCGUUUUACGCCAAAACGCAAUAAACUCCUGGCUGCACGUAUCCAGCAACAGCAGGAUAUUGAUAACGGUAAGUUGCCUGAUUUUA